UCUCUCAUAUACAAUUCUCCAUACUCAAAAUAUUUAUUCAAUUCUCUACGGAUAGCUUUGAAACUCUCUUUUUCACUACAAAAAUUGGAGAAUCUUGCUAAAAAAUAGAAGAAUUGAGGUGGAGUUUGAGCCGGAGGCUGCAACGGUGGUGGCGGCAUCAAGGGUUUGACUUGUCAGGUGUUGGUGCUUCUUCGAUCGGACGGGUAAUCGAACUUGGUUAUAACUGCAACACCUAGGCAGAUGGAGAGUUUAAUACGACUUAGUGAAGCAUUGGCACGGAUGCAUUUCUCUGAAUUGGUUGAGAUGCGAGAUGUGACUGAAGCUAUUCGACUAUUAGAAGUUGCAUUGCACCAAACAAAAACUGAUCAUCCCCCAGGUAAAGGAGAAGAGUGCAGCCGCGAAGAAGGCUGCAGAGGGACAUUUAUAUCAUCAAAAGCGUGCUCGUAGAGGAUAUUCUAGCUUAGACACCAACAACUUCAAGCACAUCCGCUAAUAUAGCUCUACCCCACAGAGUAGUAGUAAAUAGUCAGCAGCAGUAACUCAGUAAGCUGCUGUCAGCAGCAGCAGCUGACCAAUUCUCCUUUUGUUGGUUCUUAUUCUAGCUAGUGACAUGAGGUUCCUUCAAGCUCAUCAAUUGUCAACCCUUUAGCAUACAUGUCUGUUGGAGUGUUCUUGUUGCAUUUACUUUUCACUUGGUUGGUUUUUGAAGAUUUGGACUAUGGACUUAAUGGAGCUUCUCUUACACUCAUUAUCUCUGGGCUACGUUGAAGGAACA